rnacentral:rRNA from 1 species
GCUCCCUGAUGUUAGCGGCGGACGGGUGAGUAGCUCGUGAGUCAGCUGCCUGUAGGAGUGGGAUAAUUCCAGGAAACCGGGGCUAAUACCGGAUGGUUGUUUGAACCGCAUGGUUAUCUUCUAACCUGGGGCUUCUGCUACCACUUACAUAUGGACCCGCGGCGCAUGAGCUAAUUGGUGAGGUAACGGAUCACCAGGGCAACGAUGCAUAGGCUACCUGACCGGGUGAUCGGCCACACUGGGACUGAAACCCUGCCCAAACUCCUACGGGAGGCAACUGUACGGAAUCUUCCACCCUGAACCAAACUCUGACCGAGCGUCGCCACGGGAUUGAUGAAGGUUUUCGGAUCGUACAGCUCUGAUGUUACGGAAAAACAAAUUCCGUUCUAAUGGGGCGGACCCUUGAAAGUACCUACCCCUAAAUCCACGGCUAACUUACGUGCCAAUACCCACGGUAAUACGUAGGUGGCAAUGUUUGUCCGGAAUUAUUGGGCGUAAAGGGCUUCGCAAGCGGUUUCUUAAGUCUGAUGUGAAAGCCCCCGGCUCAACCGGGGAGGGUCAUUGGAAACUGGUGAACUUGAGUGCUAAAGAGGAGCCAGUGGAAUUCCACAUGUAGCCGGUGAAAUGCGUAGAGAAUGUGAUGGAACACCCAGUGGCGAAGGCCACUCUCUGGUCUGUAACUGACACUGAGGAGCGAAAGCAUGGGAAGCGAACACUGAUAAGAUACCCUGGUAAAUCAAUCGCCGUAAACGAUGAGUGCGCCUAAGUGUAAGGGGGUUUCCGCCCCUUAAUGCUGCAGCUAACGCACUAAGCACUCCCCCUGGGGAGUACGGUACGCAAGACUGAAACUCAAAGGAAUUGACGAGCGCCCGCACAAGCGGUGGAGCAUGAUGGUUUAAUUCAAACCAUACGCGAAGAACCUUACCAGGUCUUGACAUCCUAUGACAAUUCCAGAGAUAGGACGUCCCCUUCGGGGGCAGAGUGACAGGUGGUGCAUGGUUGUCGUCAGCUCGUGUCGUGAGAUGUUGGGUUAAGUCCCGCAACGAGCGCAACCCUUUAUCUUAGUUGCCAGCAUUUAGUUGGGCACUUUAAGGUGACUGCCCGUGACCAACCGGAGGAAGGUGGGGAUGACGUCAAAUCAUCCUGCCCCUUAUGACCCGGGGUACCCCCCUGGUACCAAGGACAGAACAAAGGGCAGGGAACCCACGAGGUUAAGCCAAUUCCACAAAUCUGUUUUCAGUUCGGAUUGCAGUUUGCAACUUGGAUGCCAGAAAGUGGAAUUGGUUGUAAUCGGGGAUUAGCAAGGCGCGGGGAAUACGUUUCCGGGCCUUGGACCCCCCCCCCGUCCCCCC